rnacentral:rRNA from 1 species
GAUGAACGCUAGCGGCAGGCUUAAUACAUGCAAGUCGAGGGGUAGCAAGAUUGUAGCAAUACCAUUGUUGACGACCGGCAAACGGGUGCGGAACACGUACACAACCUUCCUACAAGUGGGGAAUAGCCCAGAGAAAUUUGGAUUAAUACCCCGUAACAUAGCGAUGUGGCAUCACAUUGCUAUUAUAGCUUCGGCGCUUGUUGAUGGGUGUGCGGCUGAUUAGAUAGUUGGCGGGGUAACGGCCUACCAAGUCUACGAUCAGUAGCUGAUGUGAGAGCAUGAUCCACCACACUGGCACUGAGACACAGGCCCGAGUCCUACGGGAGGCAGCAGUAUGAUAUAAUGGACAAUACAGAGAACUACAAUCCAGCCAUGCCCGAUGAAGGGUUAAGGUCCACUACAUUGUAAGCUGUAUUUGUAAGGGGUGAAAUAACCUCUUCAUAGAACGUCUGACGGUAGCAUAAGAAUAAGCGCCUCCUAACUCCCUGCAAGCAGCCGCGGUAAAAC